AGUCUAUUCUUCAAUUCAAGAUGAAAGCUGUCCUGACUAUUCUCGUUGUGUCCAUGCUGUUAUGUGUUGUAUUGUCAUCAGAAGAAUCUGAUGCACUGCACUGCACAGGGGAGAAACUGAGUGAUGGACAGCUCUACUUCAGUAUGCCGUAUGAAGUUAAGGAGGACAUCAAUGACUGCGAGACCCAGUGGCUUGUUGAUGAGAAAGUGGCAGGGAUUUUUGAUGCUGAAGGAGAAAUGCAGUUCAUAUUCCCAAUUAAAAAUUUGACCGUGAAUGCAGCCAUCUUACAAACGUGCCCUGAAAGACUUGCAUGCCUGCUAAUCUGCCCCAGCGCCAAUAUCAAUAAAAAGCAGCAGUGCUCAUGUGAUGCAUCUCCUCUGACUACGCUUCCUGAAGUAAUAACUUGA
ensembl:lncRNA